rnacentral:rRNA from 1 species
CUGGCUCAGGAUGAACGCUGGCGGCGUGCUUAACACAUGCAAGUCGAGCGAAGCACUUUUAAGGAAGUUUUCGGAUGGAAUUAAAAGUGACUGAGCGGCGGACGGGUGAGUAACGCGUGGGUAACCUGCCUCAUACAGGGGGAUAACAGUUGGAAACGACUGCUAAUACCGCAUAAGCGCACAGUGCUGCAUGGCACAGUGUGAAAAACUCCGGUGGUAUGAGAUGGACCCGCGUCUGAUUAGGUAGUUGGUGAGGUAACGGCCCACCAAGCCGACGAUCAGUAGCCGACCUGAGAGGGUGACCGGCCACAUUGGGACUGAGACACGGCCCAAACUCUUACGGGAGGCAGCAGUGGGGAAUAUUGGACAAUGGGGGAAACCCUGAUCCAGUGACGCCGCGUGAGUGAAGAAGUAUUUCGGUAUGUAAAGCUCUAUCAGCAGGGAAGAAAAUGACGGUACCUGCCUAAGAAGCCCCGGCUAAUUACGUGCCAGCAGCCGCGGUAAUACGUAGGGGGCAAGCGUUAUCCGGAUUUACUGGGUGUAAAGGGAGCGUAGACGGCGAUGCAAGUCUGGAGUGAAAGCCCGGGGCUCAACCCCGGGACUGCUUUGGAAACUGUGUUGCUAGAGUGCAGGAGAGGUAAGUGGAAUUCCUAGUGUAGCGGUGAAAUGCGUAGAUAUUAGGAGGAACACCAGUGGCGAAGGCGGCUUACUGGACUGUAACUGACGUUGAGGCUCGAAAGCGUGGGGAGCAACCAGGAUUAGAUACCCUGGUAGUCCACCCCGUAAACGAUGAAUACUAGGUGUUGGGGAGCAAAGCUCUUCAGUGCCGCAGCUAACGCAAUAAGUAUUCCCCCGGGAGGCUCCAUGC